rnacentral:RNase_P_RNA from 1 species
CGAGUCGGCCGUGCGGUCGCCCGCGGCUUGUACGCGGGAGGAAAGUCCGAGCUUCACAGGGCAGGGCGCUGGUUAACGACCAGGUGUCGCGAGACAACGGAAAGUGCAGCAGAAAGUAUACCGCCUGGGCGCCGCAGGCGUCCCGGUAAGGGUGAAAAGGUGGUGUAAGAGACCACCGCUCCGAAAGUGAUGGAGGAGGCAAGGUAAACCCCGCCCGAAGAAAGACAAAUAGGAAAACACCCGGACAACUGUCCGGUCAGGGCGGCCCGUCCUGGUUUUCGGGUAGUCGCUUAAGGUAUUCUGGCAACAGGUAUCUCAGAUGGAUGACCGUACUUGACAGAACUCGGCUUACAGGCUGACUCGCUUC